rnacentral:rRNA from 1 species
UACGGAGGAUGCAAGCGUUAUCCGGAAUGAUUGGGCGUAAAGCGUCCGCAGGUGGCCCUGUAAGUCUGCUGUUAAAGAGUGAGGCUUAACCUCAUAAAAGCAGUGGAAACUACAGAGCUAGAGUGCGUUCGGGGCAGAAGGAAUUCCUGGUGUAGCGGUGAAAUGCGUAGAGAUCAGGAAGAACACCGGUGGCGAAGGCGUUCUGCUAGGCCGCAACUGACACUGAGGGACGAAAGCUAGGGGAGCGAAUGGG